UUCCAUACAGUUUUCCCUAAUGGCUGUACCGAUUUACAUUCCUACCAACAAUGUAGAAGGUUUUCCUUUUCUUCACAUCCUCACGAACAUGUAUCUCUUGUCUUUUUGAUAGUAGUGUUCCAGACAGGUGUGAGGUAUCUCAUUGUGGUUUGGAUUUGCAUUUCCCUGAUGUUAGUGAUUUUGAGCACCUUUUCACAUACCUGUUGAUCAUUUGUAUGUUUUGGAUAAAUAUCUGUUCAGGUCCUUUUGCCCAUUUUUAAUUGGAUUCUUUAGUUUUUUAUUGUUGAAUUGUAUGAGUUCUGAUAUUUUCUGGAUAUUAACCCCUUAUCAGAUAAAUCCUUUGCAAGUAUUUUCUCCUUUUCCUUAGGUUGUGUUUUCAUUUUGUUUCCCUUGCUAUAAAGAAGCUUUUCCAUUUGAUAUAGUCCCACUUGUUUAUUUUUGCUUUCAUUGCUUGUGCUAUGGGUGUUAUCUAAAAAAAAUCGUUGCCAACACCAAUGUCAAGGAGCUUUUUCUCUGUAUUUUCUUCUAAAAGUUUUACAAUUUCAGGGUUUAUGUUUCAAAAUUUUAAUCCGAUUCAAGUUAAUUUUUGUGAGUGGUGUGAGAUAAGGCUCUAGUUUCAUUUUUUUUGCUUGUGGAUAACCAGUGUUUCCAUCACAAUUUUUGGAAGAAGCUGUCCUUUCUCCAUUGUGUGUUCUUGUGCCUAUCAAAGAUCAGUUGACCACAUAUGCGUGAGUUUAUUUCUGGGCUCUGUAUUCUGUUCAGUUGAUCUAUGUGUCUAUUUUUAUGCCAGUACCAUAAUGUAUUAAUUACCAUAGAAUUGUAAUAGUUUGAAAUCAGAAAGUGUGGUGCCUCUAGAUUUGUCCUUUUUCAAGAUUGUUUUGGCUAUUUGGAAUUUUUCAUGGUUCCAUACAAAUUUUAGAAUUGUUUAUUCUAUUUCUGUGGAAAAUGUCAUUGGAAUUUUGAUAUGGAUUGUUUUCAAUCUGUAAAUUGCUCUUUGUAAAAUUAACAAUAUUAAUUUUUCCAAUCCAGGAAUACUGGAUAUCUUUCCAUUUGUUUAUGUCUUCUUUAGUUUCUUCCAUCGUUGUCUUAUGAUUUUCAGAAUGUAAAUCUUUCAUCCCCUAGAUUAAAUUUGUUCCUGAGUAUCUUAUUCUUUUGAUGCUAUUUAAAAUAAGAUUGCUUUCUUAAUUUUCUAUUCAGACAGUUUGUAAUUAGUGUAUAUAAAUGCAACUGAAAUUUGUAUAUUGGUUCUUUUUAUCCUGAAACUUUACUGAAUUCAUUUGUUAGGGUGGAAUUUUGGGAGUUUCUACAUAUAAGAGUGCGUUACCUGCAAACAAACACUUUUCCUUCUUCCAGUCCAAUUUGACUGCCUUUUCUUUCUUUUUCUUCUCUACUUAUUCUGGGUAGGGCUUCCUGUACUAUGUUGAAUAAAAACGGAUAGGGUAGGCAUCCUUGUCUUGUUCCUGAUGUUAGAGGAAAACCUUUUAGCUUUUGAAUGUUCGAUAUGAUGUUAGGUAUGGGCUUGUCAGACAUGUUGAAGUACAUUCCUUCUAUACCUAGCUUUUUUUUUAAAAAAACAAUUAAUUUGGCUGUGUCUGGUGUUAGUUGUGGUGUGCAGGAUCUUUUAGUUGUGUACAGGCUUCUCUCUAGUUGUGGUGUGCGGGCUCAGUAGCUGUGACCUACAGGCCCUCUAGUUAGAGCGCAUGGGCUCACUGGUUGCAGCGCACAGGCUCUGUAGUUAUGGCAUGUGGGCUCCAGAGCACGUGGGCUCAGUAGUUGUGGUGCAUGGGCUGAGUCAUUGCAGUGCAUGGGCUGAGUAGUUGCAGUGCAUGGGCUUAGUUCCCCAACCCAGGACUGAACUCGUGUCUCCUGCGUUUGAAGAUGGAUUCUUAACCACUGGACUACGAGGGAAGUCCCCCUUCUAUACCUAACUUGUUGAGAGUUUUUAUCAUGAAUGGAUAUUGAUUUUCAAAAUGGUUUUUCAGCAUCUAUUCAUAUGAUUAUGAUUUUUAUCCUUCGUUCUGAUAAUGUGGUGUAUCACAUUUAUUGAUUUGCACAUGAUUUUGAACCAUCUUUGCACCCCAAGGAUAAAUGCUACUUGAUUGUGAUGUAUGAUCCUGUAAAUGUGCUGUUGGAUUUGGUUUGCAAGUAUUUGGUUGAGGAUUUUUGCAUCUCUAUUCAUCAGGGAUUUUUUUUUUUUUUUACUUAUUUUAUUUAUUUAUUUUUGGCUUUGUUGGAUCUUAGUUGCUGUGUGUGGGCUUUCUCUAGUUGUGGCGAGUGGGGGCUCCUCUUUGUUGUGGUGCACGUGCUUCUCAUUGUGGUGGCUUCCCUUGUUGCAGAGCACGGGCUCUAGGCAUGCAGGCCUCAGUAGUUACAGCACACGUGUUCAGUAGUUGUGGCUCGCAGGCUCUAGAGCACAUGGGCUUAGUUGCUCCGCAGCCUGUAGGAUCUACCUGGACCAGGGCUCGAACCUGUGUCCUGUGCAUUGGCAGGCGGAUUCUUAAUCACUGUGCCACCAGGGACACCCUCAUCAGGGAUAUUGACCUGUAAUUUUCUUCUGUUGUAUUCUUCUUAAAUGGCUUUGAUAUCAGAGUAAUGCUGGUCUCAUAAAAUGAACUUGGAAGUGUUCCUGCUUCAAUUUUUUGGAAGACUUUGAGAAGGAUUGAUAUUAAUGUUUUAAAUAUUUAGUAGAUGGCUUUCCUGAUGGCACGGUGGUUGAGAGUCCGCCUGCUGAUGCAGAGGAUGCGGGUUCGUGCCCUGGUCCGGGAGGAUCACACUGCCAUUGAGCAGCUGGGCCCAUGAGCCAUGGCUGCUGAGCCUGCACGUCCGGAGCCUGUGCUCCACAAUGGGAGAGGCCACAACAGUGAGAGGCCCUCAUACCGCAAAACAUAAAUAAAUAAAUAAAUAAAUAAAUAAAUAUUUAGUAGAAUUCCCAGUGAUUUUGCCUAGUCCUGGGCUUUUCUUUGUUGGGAGAUUUUUUUUAUUAGUGAUUCAAUCUGCUUACCAGUUAUAGGUUAAUUCAUAUUUCCUAUUUUUUCAUGAUUUUAUUUUGGUAGGUUUUAUGUUUAUAGGAGUUUUAUUCAUUUCUUCUGAGUUAUCCAAUUUGUUGGCAAAUAAUUGUUCAUUCUAGUUUCUUCUGAUUGAUUGUAUUCCUGCAGUAUCAGUUGUUAUGUCUCCUCUUUCAUUUCUGAUUUUGAGUCGUCUCUCUUUUUUUCAUAAUCUAGCUAAAGGCUUGUCGAUUUAUCUUUUCAAAAAAACCAACUGUUGAGAUUUCCCUGGUGAUCAGUGGUUAGGACUCUGCACUUCCACUGUAGGGGGUCCAGGUUCAAUGCCUGGUCAGGGAACUAAGAUCCCAAAAGCCAUACAGAGUGGCCAAAAAACAAAGUAAAAAGUUUUUUUAAAAAAAUUUAAAAACCUCUUACUUUUAUUGGUGUUUUCUGUCAUUUUUCUAGUCUCUAUUUCAUUUAUUUCUGCUCUGAUCUUUAUUAUUUGUUUUAUUUCUGCUAACUUUAACCUUAGUCUGUUCUUUUUCUCAUACCUUGAGAUAUAGAGUUAGAUUGUUUAUUAGAGAUCAUUCUUUUUUCUUAAUGUAGUCAUUUAUUGCUAUAAACUAUCCUCUUACAAUUGCUUUUACUGCAGCCCAUAAGUUUUCGUGUGUUAUGUUUCCAUUUACAUUUGUUUGAAUAUGUUUUUUUUAAUCAUUUCUUGUUUAACCCAUAGGUCAUUCAGGAGUGUGUCAUUUAAAUUCUACGUAUUUGUGAAUUUCCCAGCUUUCCUCCUGUUAAUGAUUUCUAGUUUUGUACCAUUGUGGUUGGAAAAGAUAUUUAAUAUGUUUUCCAUCUUUUUAAAUUUGUUAAUACUUGUUUUGUGACCUAACAUGUGAUCUAUCCUAGAGAGUGUUCUCUGUGUACUUAAGAACGGGCUUCCCUGGUGGCGCAGUGGUUGAGAGUCCGCCUGCCGAUGCAGGGGACACAGGUGUCUGGAGUGGAGAAGAGAAUGUUGAGGCAUCCUUUGAACAGAAUGUUUCUGUGGUAAUGUCACAGGUCAGGACUUCCAAGGAACCUUCAUCUUCCCAGAAGACUCACCCCUGUGAGAUGUGUGGUCCAGUCUUGAGAGACAUUUUCCAUUUGACUGAGCAGCAGGGAACACAACACAGCCAGAAACUGUUCAAGUAUAGGGCAUGUGCAAAAGGAUUUUAUUUCAGUGCAGACACUCAGCAGCACCAGGAGCAACACAUGCAAGAAAAACCGUUCAUAAUCGGUGUGGACAGGGCCUCAUUUGUGAAGAGCAGCAAUUUCCAUGUGUCAGGGGAGGCUUUUACCUGCAAGAAAGUUGCAGAGGACUUCCUAGCCACCUCAGGACAUCUGAAUCAACAGGCCAUUCACACUGGGGAAAAGCCAAACACAGUCACCCACUGCAUGGAAACUUUACAAAGCAGAAAAAGUCAUUGCACCAGGGGAGAAUGCAAGAAAGCCUUCAGCCCCAAGCACACACUUGUUCAGGCCCAGAGUGUCUACACUGAAAGACAGUGUUUUAUGUGCAGUGAAUGUGGGAAAACAUUCAAGUAUAAAUCCUCAUUUGUUGUGCACCAGAGAAUUCACACUGGUGACAGGCUUUAUGACUGUGGCGACUGUGGAAAAUCUUUUAGGGGAAGCUCAGCCCUCAUUCAACAUCGAAGAAUUCAUACUGGGGCAAGGCAGUACAAGUGCAGCAAAUGUGGGAAAUCCUUUAGCCAAGAAUUUGUCUUCAUUUAUCCUCAGAGGAGUCACACUGGAGAAGAUUGCCACAUUUGCCAUCAGUGUGCACAAUCUUUUAGCCAUAGCUCCAUCUUUUUUCAACAACAGACAGUUCACACUGGAGAAAUGAGUUAUGAGUGCACUGAAUGUAGGAAGCCCUUUAGACGAAAAUCUGACCUCAUUGAACACUGGAGGGUUCACACAGGAGAAAGGCCUUAUGAGUGCAGUGAAUGUGGGAAAUCCUUUACUUCUAGCUCCGCCCUUCGUUAUCAUCAGAGAGUUCACACUGGAGAAAAGCCUUAUAAAUGUGGGGAAUGUGGGAAGUCUUUUACCUCUAGCUCUGGCCUACGUUAUCAUCAGAGAAUUCACACAGGAGAAAGGCCAUAUGAGUGUACUGAUUGUGGAAAGUCUUUUACCCAAAUAAAUCACCUCAUUAUACACCGAAGAGUUCACACAGGAGAAAGGCCUUAUGAGUGUAGUGAAUGUGGGAAAUCCUUUAGCCACAAAUCUUACCUGUCUCAACACCAGAGAGUUCACACUGGAGAAAGACCUUAUGAAUGUAGUGAAUGUGGGAAAUCUUUUACCUCUGGUUCUGCCCUCUGUUAUCAUCAGAGAGUUCACACAGGAGAAAAACCUUAUGAGUGCAGUGAAUGUGGGAAAUCCUUUACCAAUGGACCGAUACUCAUUCGACACCGUAGAGUUCACACAGGAGAAAGGCCUUAUGAGUGCAGUGAAUGUGGGAAAUCCUUUACCCAAAGAAAUCAUCUCAACAUACACCAGAGAGUUCACACAGGAGAAAGACCUUAUGAGUGCAUUGAAUGUGGGAAAUCUUUUACCUCUGGUUCUGCCCUGCGUUAUCAUCAGAAAAUUCACAUUGGAGAAAGGCCUUAUGAGUGCAGUGAAUGUGAGAAAUCUUUUACCUCUAGCUCUGCCCUCCGUUGUCAUCAGAGAGUUCACACAGGAGAAAGGCCUUUUGACUGCAGUGAAUGUGGUAAAUCUUUUAGGGACAGUUCCCAAUUGAAUCAACACCAGAGAGUUCACACUGGAGAAAAGCCUUAUGAAUGUAGUGAUUGUGGGAGAUCCUUUAGCCAGAAUUCAUACCUCUCUAAACACCGGAGAGUUCACACUGGAGAAAGGCCUUAUGAGUGCAGUGAAUGUGAGAAAUCUUUUACAUCUGUCUCUGCCCUUGGUUAUCAUCAGAGAGUUCACACUGGAGAAAGGCCUUAUAAGUGCAGUGACUGUGGGAAAUCUUUUACCAAUAGCUCAAUACUGAUUCGCCAUCGGAGAGUUCACACAGGAGAAAGGCCUCAUGCAUGUAGUGACUGUGGAAAGUCCUUUACCCAAAGAAUUCACCUCAUAAUUCACCGGAGAGUUCACACAGGAGAAAGGCCUUAUGAGUGCAGUGAAUGUGGGAAAUCUUUUACCUCUCGUUCCACCCUUCAUUAUCAUCAGAGAGUUCACACAGGAGAAAAGCCUUAUGACUGCAGCGAAUGUGGGAAGUCUUUUAGCCGAAAAUCUAACCUCUCUCAGCACCAGCGAGUUCACACUGGAGAAAGGCCUUAAAUGUGUAAGAAAUGUACAAUUUCCUUGUUCAGUGUAGUGACAUUGGAUGAAACUGAGGCACUAGUUGUCCCAUGCAUCCAAACAUCAGGAGUAGAGAGAUUCCUCAUAAUUUUCAGUUUUGUGGGAAGCAUGUGUGACUGUGUUACACUCUCUAACCUACCCAGGACUCUUGAUAGAUUUAUGUCACUGCCACUUUCUGUAGCCAGAUCCAUUUCACCUCUAUAAGCUGGCAUGUCCCCACAGUGUGCAUCAGUCACUACUGCAGUGUGCUCAGGGAAGCCAACUCUGUUCUCUCAUUUCUGGGAGGAAAUUAGGAAUAACCUGAACCUUUAGGAUUCCCUUUCUGACCAGCUUGGGCAUGGGCCUGACCUACUAUUGGCCCAGAGAACAUCAUAUGAGUUCAUCUGGCAGCUUCCAGAGAAGGAUUACCAUUUUCAGGGACAUGUUGGUCUCAAGAUACUUGUGAUGAAGUUUCAUACCUUCUGAGUCACCAGCUAAAGAACUGCCAGCCAUUGCUUUCAGAUCUGCCAGAACAUUGCCAGAACAGUAACAAAGACCUUACUGUUUUAAGUCCUCUUUAAUCUUGGAUAUUCUAUUUACCAAAUAGGGUAGGUUAUAAACAGAUUUGGGCAUGAAGGGGCGAGCAACUUUUAUGGGGGUAUCAAAUUUCUGUGCCUCAGAGGAGACAUUACAAAGGCAGAAAUUAACUUACUAGUUUUUGUCAAAUUUGCAUUUCUGCCCGUGGCCUCCUAGGAAAGACUGCAGGACUUUCUUGUCUUCAUUUGAGGCCUGGAUGCUAUGAGUUUUAGGAGACUCAGAGGGCACCCUGAGGAGGGGUCCGGUGUGAAAACCUCAACUGCUUCUGGGAGCAGCAUGAAUUUUUUCCCUUGUUCACAGGGCAUGUCAGCAAUGCUGAGGGAACUCUCUUCCCCAGGUCUUACAAAGAGCCAGGCAGAUUUUAAAAAAAAAAAGAGAGAAAAGGAGAAUCUGUAGUCCACAGAUGUGUCUCUUGUGACCCAGGCCGCAUUCCUGUUGACUCUGGUGGAAAGUCAUUGCUCACUCUAUUUGCUGUCUUUGAGCUUGCGGGAUCUUAGUUUCCCAACCAGGCCUCAUCAGUGAAAGUGCAGAGUCCUAACUACUGGACUGCCAGGGAAUUCCCAUUGUUUUCAUUCUUACCAGCAGUGUAUGAGAGCUCCAUUUCUUCCACAUCCUGG